UACGUAGGGGGCGAGCGUUGUCCGGAUUCAUUGGGCGUAAAGCGCGCGCAGGCGGUGGCGUGAGCCCGGCGUGAAAGCCCCCCAGCUCAACUGGGGGAGGCCGUCGGAGACCGCGGCACUUGAGGCCGGUAGGGGAGAGCGGAAUUCCCGGUGUAGUGGUGGAAUGCGUAGAUAUCGGGAGGAACACCAGUGGCGAAGGCGGCUCUCUGGACCGGUUCUGACGCUCAGGCGCGAAAGCCAGGGGAGCGAACGGG
rnacentral:rRNA from 1 species